rnacentral:rRNA from 1 species
AGAACUUAGCAGAGAUGCUUUGGUGCCUUCGGGAACUCUGAGACAGGUGCUGCAUGGCUGUCGUCAGCUCGUGUUGUGAAAUGUUGGGUUAAGUCCCGCAACGAGCGCAACCCUUAUCCUUUGUUGCCAGCGGUCCGGCCGGGAACUCAAAGGAGACUGCCAGUGAUAAACUGGAGGAAGGUGGGGAUGACGUCAAGUCAUCAUGGCCCUUACGAGUAGGGCUACACACGUGCUACAAUGGCGCAUACAAAGAGAAGCGACCUCGCGAGAGCAAGCGGACCUCAUAAAGUGUGUCGUAGUCCGGAUUGGAGUCUGCAACUCGACUCCAUGAAGUCGGAAUCGCUAGUAAUCGUAGAUCAGAAUGCUACGGUGAAUACGUUCCCGGGCCUUGUACACACCGCCCGUCACACCAUGGGAGUGGGUUGCAAAAGAAGUAGGUAGCUUAACCUUCGGGAGGGCGCUUACCACUUUGUGAUUCAUGACUGGGGUGAAGUCGUAACAAGGUAGGCGUAGCGAG